UGACCUUAUUUCCUUGGCGUCCUCCAUCUC
rnacentral:piRNA from 1 species